AGGAUUAACGCUGGCGGCGUGCCUAACACAUGCAAGUCGAACGAGGUAGCAAUACCUAGUGGCAGGCGGGUGAGUAGCGCGUGGUCAACCUACCGUUGAGUGGGGGAUAACUAGCCGAAAGGUUAGCUAAUACCGCAUACGUCUCCGAGGGGCAUCCCUUGGCGAUAAAAAGGAGCAAUCCGCUCGAUGACGGGACCGCGUCCCAUUAGCUAGUUGGUGGGGUAACGGCCUACCAAGGCAUCGAUGGGUAGCUGGUUUGAGAGAGCGACCAGCCACACUGGGACUGAGAUACGGCCCAGACUCCUACGGGAGGCAGCAGUGAGGAAUUUUCCGCAAUGGGCGAAAGCCUGACGGAGCGACGCCGCGUGUGGGAAGAAGGCCUUCGGGUCGUAAACCACUGUCGAAGGGGAAGAUAAUGACGGUACCCUUGGAGGAAGCCCCGGCUAACUACGCGCCAGCAGCCGC
rnacentral:rRNA from 1 species